AUUGAACGCUGGCGGCAUGCCUUACACAUGCAAGUCGAACGGUAACGCGGGGCAACCUGGCGACGAGUGGCGAACGGGUGAGUAAUGCAUCGGAACGUGCCCAGUAGUGGGGGAUAGCCCGGCGAAAGCCGGAUUAAUACCGCAUACGACCUACGGGUGAAAGCGGGGGAUCGCAAGACCUCGCGCUAUUGGAGCGGCCGAUGUCAGAUUAGGUAGUUGGUGGGGUAAAGGCCUACCAAGCCUUCGAUCUGUAGCUGGUCUGAGAGGACGACCAGCCACACUGGGACUGAGACACGGCCCAGACUCCUACGGGAGGCAGCAGUGGGGAAUUUUGGACAAUGGGCGCAAGCCUGAUCCAGCCAUGCCGCGUGCGGGAAGAAGGCCUUCGGGUUGUAAACCGCUUUUGUCAGGGAAGAAACGCUCUGGGCUAAUACCCCGGGGUAAUGACGGUACCUGAAGAAUAAGCACCGGCUAACUACGUGCCAGCCGCCGCAGUAACAC
rnacentral:rRNA from 1 species